ensembl:lncRNA
CCUUGCCUCUGAUACCCAUGCAUCUGGAAAGAUAGCUGUGCUGCACCAGAAACAAAACGGUGGAAGCAGUUGGUUGGAGAACAAGGUGGGACGGGGCAGUCGAGGCAGCAGGCUGGUAUCACGGGUCCUUGUCUUGCUGAGAAGAGUCUUAGAAGGUCAGGAGCCAGGCAUAAAGCGACAUGAGUUGGAAUGUCUUUGAGUAGAACGGUCUUUUCUUGAGAUGAAAGCUUCCUUCCUCCGUCCCUCCCUUCCUUCCUUUCUUUUUGCCAGAUACUCUGAUGCUCACCUCAUGACAGGACAUCAUCAGGGGAGCCAGCACGUAGUUAAGACCCUGCGGUUCUUGUUCUGGAGUUUACACCGCAUCGGAGGAGACAGGUGGAGAUGGUGCAGCGAGGAGCUAUGGUGGAUUGAAUCAGCAAUGAGCAGCUCAGGAACGAAGCUCAGGGAAGAGUCCUAAAGCAAUGAUGUCUGUUGUGGAAUAUUUGUACUUCCUAUGUGACAUUGUGAUAAAUAUAUUUUCAGCAAAGCCUGGAGAAGUGAAGAAGUUCUGAAUCCAUGGUUGGGAGAAAUAUGGCAGCAGAUGGCAAUAUGCACAAGUGGCAUUUGGACCGGCCGGAUGUGAUGGGGAAUUGGGUUGGCUGUGAAAGAAAUCAAAGAAGACUAUUUCUACUGCUCACAACCCUAAACCUUUGAAAAUAUUGGCAGUGCUGCUGGAUUUCCUAUAAUAUUGUGGGAUGAGAGCAUACAUUGUUUUAUUUGAAAAAUAAGGAAAAGAAGGAUCCCAGAAGAUGGCGUGCUUGGGUGGAGGAACUCUUGGGUUAUGGUACUAAUUUCCAACUGAUUUGGGAUUGGAGUUUAAAACCAGUAUUUUAACACAGCAUGGCUGCUGACUUGUAAUGCAUAACAUUAUGUAAUAGCGUAGUAAGAUUACAGAUUUUACUAGCUUCUAGCUAAUUUCUCUGACCACAUUUGUAAAAAUAUAAGCAUCGCAAUAAUGGAUUGUAACAUACUGAAUUUUAGAAGAAUGAAGUUCCAUAGUGAUUUUUGAAAAUGGUGGGGGUGUGUGCAGUAAAAGCUCUUCUUUACGAAAGAAUGGGAAGAUGUGGAGGAGAUGACUGCAUUAGAAAAUCAUCAUUUUGCCACUAACAUUAUAAUAAUCAAUGCAGGCAAAUAUGCUCCUUGGUAUUUAGCCAAAGGAAUUGAAAACUAGGAGUUCCUGUCGUGGCUCAGUGGUUAACGAAUUCGACUAGGAACCAUGAGGUUGUGGGUUUGAUCCCUGGCCUCACUCAGCGGGUUAAGGAUCCAGUGUUGCUGUGAGCUGUGGUGUAGGUUACAGACACGACUCGGAUGCUGUGUUGCUGUGGCAGUGGUGUAGGCCGGCAGCUGUAGCUCCAAUUCAACCCCUAGCCUGGGAACCUCCAUAUAUGACGUGGGUACAGCCCUAAAAAGCAAAAAAAGGAAAAAGAGAAAAGAAAUGGCUAUGUGUGGUUUACAAGCCUGUUAACACUGUCUUCUAGUUGAUUGACCAAACUAGGACACACGAGUUCAAUCCCUGGCCUUGCUCAGUGGGUUAAGAAGCUGUUGUGUAGGUCACAGAUGCGGCCGGGAUCCUGUGUUGCUGUGGUGCUGGCGAAGGAUGGCGACUACUGCUCUGAUUAGACCCCUAGCCUGGGAACCUCCAUAUGCCACAGGUGCGACCCUAGAAAAGACAAAAAGACAAAAAAAAAAAAAGAAAAAAAAGAAAAGAAAACUUAUGUCCACACAAAACCCUGUACCCAGAUUUUAUAACAGCUUUAUUCAUAAUGGCCCAAUCAUGGAAGAAACCAAGAUGACCCUCAGUAAGUGAACGGAUAAAUAAACUGCCAUAUAUCCGGAUAAUGGAAUUUCA